rnacentral:tRNA from 1 species
GGAGAGAUGGCUGAGUGGUCGAAAGCACCGGUCUUGAAAACCGACGUAGGUUAAUAGCUUACCCAGGGUUCGAAUCCCUGUCUCUCCGCCA